rnacentral:rRNA from 1 species
AAGCUCGUAGUUGAAUUUCGGGGUUAGUAGGUUGGUCAUGCCUCUGGUAUGUACUGGUCUCACUGAUUCCUCCUUCCUUAUGAACCGUAAUGCCAUUAAUUUGGUGUUGCGGGGGAAUUUGGACUGUUACUUUGAAAAAAUUAGAGUGUUUAAAGCAAGCUAACGCUUGAAUACAUUAGCAUGGAAUAAUGAAAUAGGACGUUCGAUCUUAUUUUGUUGGUUUCUAGGAUUGACGUAAUGAUUAAUAGGGAUAGUUGGG